UGUUAUCCAUCAGAGCUACCAUGCUGGCCUGGAAGGUUGUUGCUCUCCGACUUGCACUCCUGCAGCUCAGCAUCUACCUUAAUAGGUACUCCUCCUUCACACCACAGGUAGCCUCACCUUUCAUCCUAUUGGCGGUUGAUGUGUUUCACAGGAAUGAUAGUGCAUACCGCUAUUUGCAUGAAAUCGAUCUCAUGUCGAAAGAUUGAACAUACAACACAGUGUAUCAAGAGUUUAAACUGUAUAGCGCUAACUAUACUAGCUGCGCACUAGUCAAACCAUUAAACCAACUCAAAAUAAAAAAAAAAAUGUGAAAAUCACAGUUGCCCACGGUAAGUUACGUUUUUCCUGUGCCAUGCAUACCUAAUGCCCCGGUAAGUAUCCUCUCACGUUUCUGGGUACUUGAGACUCAUGCUAAGCCUUUAAAUAUCAAACGACCAUUCACGGAUAUAUUCUCGCCCCAUAAAGCCCCUAAAAACCAGACAGUUAUCGGUUAACAGUUAACAGUUUACGUCCAAGGCGGGAUUCCACUCCAACCAGACAAAUAAGAAAAUAUAGAGAAGAACAAAGUGCAUUUUUUCUGGUGAUAUGCUGGGUUUCGUAUAUUUCGAUUUCCGUGUUAUCGUGACUCAACAACAAUUAGUAUCGACGAUAUCGCGGUAAGCUAUUAUAUAAUUUUGCGUGCAUGACUAACACAUUGCAUAAUAGUUACGAUAUGUAUGGGGUAUGUUCUAGGUGUCCUAUAUACUUUUAAAGAAGACCAGAUGUUCAAAAAGAAUACAGGUUACAAGGAGACGAUAUGCCCUAUGAUAUUUAUAUGUAUGGAUCGAUAACAAUUUUCCGCGUUUCGCCCAUAUUCCGUUCCAGUUUCCAGUGUCGUAGUUAAUCUUUAAACCGCGCAAUAAAUCGAGCCCAGCAAUAGCGAGUUUGUGUCAACAUUCCGGUAGAUCAUUUCGAUUAGCCUUGAGUUGUUGCGGAAGCUUCCGUCUUCGUUGAAUUAGUCGAUUGGUCAUCACCUCCGUGCUGCUUGCUGCUGCUCUUUUUCGUUUCGACCACUAUGCAGAGCCACGGGUAGAGCUCUUUCAAGCACUGCGCAUGGAAUAGAUGUGGUAAGAUCGAAUUCCCCCUUUUCAUUUAAAGUAUGUUACAGCUUUUUAACCAUUGACUCAUUUUACCUCUCGAUAUUUAGGAUGUGAAAGAGCGUAGAUGACAGGGUUGUAAGCACAGGACGUCUUAGACAAGAUGACGGGGAGUUCGCAAACUAGCGGAGUAAUUUUAGACACGUCUCCCCAGGUGCCAAUCAGGCAAACAACCGCGAAAGGACUCCAGGCCAUGAUCCACAGCGUGACGUUAAUGAUAGCGACUUUAGCGAUGCGGAUUUCUGCCGAAACAGCCUGUUGCUCGCUGUUGCUCCUCAGUGAAGUGACGUUCAUCUUUUUGGCUUGCUGACGCAAUUCAUCUUCGUGGUGGAAAACAGCACGGACGAUGAAAUAGUAGCAGCUGAUGAUGAUCAAGACGGGAAAGACGAACAUGAAGGUGAAGCAAGUGAGAAUGUGGCUCUUGUUGCUAAUGUUGGUGGUUACUCCAUCAAAGGAGCAUCUUUUUUAACAAAAUUGGGCGUUAGUUCGCCAUUAAGUCAUUAACCGCGCCAGAAUAGCUAUACUAGCUAUAGUGCCUUACGUUCCGAGCAUUCCGUCCAUGGCGUAGUAACCCCAUCCAACGAGAGGGCCAACCGACCACCCAAAGGCCCAGAUCCAAGUUAAGGUGAUGAACACAAUCGCUUUAGAGAAAGUCAAUGGAUUUGCGUUGAAACCCUUGACAAUGACGUUGUACCUAUUAUAGUUCAAUUAUUUUUUUAAAGUUUGGAUUUUAAUUUACAGUGUCAAAUGUUAUUCACGAACCGAUCAUAGGAGAUGAGCACCAAGGUCGUAAUUUGACUAUAACCGCACAGGGCACCUGCAAUUAGACGUCAGAUUGUUCUAAAAGUUGUUCGACUACACAUUUAUCACGAUUUCAUCGGAGCCUAAACGUAUUAACUAACCGCAGAAAGCGUGAAUCUGGCAGCCGAGAUCGCCGAAUUGCCAAGGUCCGCCCGUAAAGAAAUUGUAGACGCAUUCCGGAAUAAGUGUGAUCAUCAGCAAGAAGUCGGACACGGCCAGGUUCAUCACGAGCAUAUUGGCCGGUGUUCUCAGUGCCGGGAAGCUUCCCAAGAUUCUCAGUACCAUCCAGUUGCCACUGAUAGCCACAGUUCCUUGAAUUGUUCAAAAUCCGCGCCAUUUAGUUAAAGGGGAAUAAUAUUUAGACAAUAAAGAUUUGAUUUGUAGAAUCAAUAUAUCAUAAUUAUACACACCAAUGACCAAGUAGAUGAUUCCGAAAAAGUAAUACAUCAUGGGAUGAGGGGCUUUCUGGUUAUGCCAGUGAGGAUGGAGGAAGCUGCGGAUCUCUUCCGGAGCGAAGUUGUAGAUGGUGAAGGUAUCCGGAAGAGACCAGGGGUUGAAAGGUUGCUGUUGCGCCAUGGCCGUCACGUUACUAUGGAGCUCCAUUCUGUCAAUAUGUAUUAAUCAAUAAUAAAUAUUGCUAGUGAUAGCCAAGUGUAUAUUAAAUGAAUAUAGGGAAAUCAAUUACUUAGAAGUUUGUUGUAAUAACUGAUGAAAAUCGUUAGCGCUAAAAUGAAUUGAAGUGCGAAAGAUGUUCUAUCGUUUGAUGUUGGUCAACAAAGGAGUUAGUUAUUGCGACUUCACUGCUACGACGGUGACGACGACUGCUGCAACAGUGAAGAGUGACCCCAACCGUGUUUCCUUUUAUACUGAAACGAACUCGUGACUAGCAAACUUUUGUGACUAGGAUGUCGUGUGUAAGGUGGUCGCUGUACGAGGUGCUAACCUUCACAUCUUUCCAGUGAAAGGAUGUAUUACAGUGUAAGAAAGGCUCGAUAAAUUAAAUUAGCACUGAUUAAAAAAUUGUAUGUCUGCGUUGUUCGCAGCAUAGUAAAUGACCUAUUGAAAUUGGAUUAUUGUUCUCUGUCAUAUUCUUCACGGUUUUUUGCUAGUGACAAAUCUGCUUAGAAAAGUCGUCUGGUCAACUUAGUCUUUUCGUGCCGUUAAAGGCAAUAGCACUGCGUAGCCCCUAGCUCCCUGCUCCUGUCUGACCUUUUUUAAUGGGAUCUUGUCUACGCCUUCUUUAUUGAUAGUUCUUAAGUCUUUUCUUUCCUUCAUUAUAUAUAUAUAUCUCUGUAGCCUCGUACUGGCCGAACUCGAUACCUUACUCAACGACGUCUUGUAUGACUAAAUUCUUUAAAUGUCAAAUGAUGAAGAAAACUGGAAACAAAGUUCAUUAAUCAAAUUUAGCCUCUUAGUCAACUCUGCCAUUUCUAAAAGGCCACAAGACAUAUGACAAAUAAGGAUUAAGCACCAAAAGACAAGGAGCAGUAAGGCACUAACGAAUGGUUUGUAUAAAGUGUGAGACGCUUUGUUAAUACACUUUCUAGUUGACGCUCUUUUAGGCAACAGCUCAUUCCUCCUCCCGACAUCCAUAUGCAGUUACCAAUCUGGUAUGUAUACAAGACUAAACAUUUUUGUAUAUGUCGUUAAACGGUACCUUAGAUUAGUCUUGGUAGAUUCGUAAGCCUUAUGAUCAAACGCAUUCUGAAAUCGCUUACGGUCACGUAAAACGGAAAGGUGGAAAAUUAAUUAUUUGCAUUUCAAUAAAAAAGAAUAAAUGACAUACAGUACUACUCGUCGGUAACAGCGAGUUUUUAUUGUUAUUCUGCUAUUCAAGUGAUUCGAGCUUCAAACUAUUAUCAGACUCCGAUCGCCUUACGUUGACAUCUCGAUCAAGACAAAUCUCAGUAUUUCCCUUUGCAUGACGGUUAUAUCAUCAACUAUCAAUAAGGUGAAAUAAGAUUUUGAAAUGAAAAAAAGUUUUUCUAUAGAUUUGGUACCGUAUACAGCCAGUGGUUGCACAACCUUAUUUUCUAAAACAUUUGGCGCCGUGAUCAAAUUCGAGGCGUACUGGAAUGUCGGUCAAACUGUCAUAGGGUCAAGGAACAUGUCAAAGGUUUGUUUGCAUAACAGUCCAUCGUCAACCCCUUGAGAAUAUCGACCAGCCCUUGCGUGCCUUCCGUCUGACUCCAGAUGCAGGGCGAACAUCUGGCGAAGCCGGGGGCAAGAAAUUCGGUUCUCUUAUUCCCCGCAGUUUCACGGUUUGUGAUCGACUAUGAAUUGAUCGACUAUGGAAGCAAACGACCCGUUACCAAAAGAACUCAAAUAAUAAUGAAACGUUAAACUCAUUUUUAUAGACUUCACCGAAUGUCAAGUCCCGUUGGAUGGAUUGACCAGUCAUCAUUGCUUCCGAUCGUCCGGAUCCCAUCGACCUACAGACGGACGCCCUCGAGCUCUACAUCCGCUUGCAGACAGAGCGGCCGUCUGAUCAGACGAAUCAGCAUUUGACCAACGAAGGUUUCUCCGCAUCUGCCCGUUUGUUUUCUUCAUUCAAGCUCCAAGUAAUUGCACACACCUGUACAAACCAACAAUUAAUCUGAAAGAAGUAUCGACUUCAAAAUCAAAGUAAAGCUAAUUCAUUCAUAUAGUUUAUUGUUAAU